GGUUGGAAUUGGAAACGAUCAGCAGCGGACGGGUGAGUAAAGCACAAGGACGUAUCCUUUUGAGGGGGACAACUGCGGGAAACCGGAGCUAAUAGCCCAUAAGCCGAGAGGUGAAAGCGCGCGAGCGCGCAAGAGGAGCGACUUGUGUCCUAUCAGGCAGUUGGUGAGGUAAGAGCUCACCAAACCGAAGACGGGUAGCCGGACUGAGAGGUUGUACGGCCACAUUGGAACUGAGAGACGGUCCAGACUCC
rnacentral:rRNA from 1 species